AGCCCUACAAUAAUGAAUAACACUGGCUCUGGCAAACUUUCUUCCUUCAGGAAAUAAGGACUCCUGAGGCAGGCGGGCAGCUGGUGCAUUGUGGAGGAUGUGGUACCCUGUGUGCGCUGCCCACUGCUGUCGCCAUGGAGACUGCUGAACACAGACCUUCCAGCCGCCUGGGACCUCUGUCGUGCAGAGACCUGUGGGAUUUCUCUCCAGGUGAUGACUCCACUUCCACGGUCUGGGAUGCUGCUUCCCAAGACCAGUAUGUGUCUUUUUCCUGUUUUGUAAUCUCUUCUUAAGUACAAAUGAUAAGCAAGUGAAUAAAACCAGAUAUAAAACUA